GGCGAACGCUGGCGGCGUGCUUAACACAUGCAAGUCGAACGGAAAGGCCCUUCGGGGUACUCGAGUGGCGAACGGGUGAGUAACACGUGGGUGAUCUGCCCUGCACUUUGGGAUAAGCCUGGGAAACUGGGUCUAAUACCGAAUAGGACCACGCGCUUCAUGGUGUGUGGUGGAAAGCUUUUGCGGUGUGGGAUGGGCCCGCGGCCUAUCAGCUUGUUGGUGGGGUAAUGGCCUACCAAGGCGACGACGGGUAGCCGGCCUGAGAGGGUGACCGGCCACACUGGGACUGAGAUACGGCCCAGACUCCUACGGGAGGCAGCAGUGGGGAAUAUUGCACAAUGGGCGCAAGCCUGAUGCAGCGACGCCGCGUGAGGGAUGACGGCCUUCGGGUUGUAAACCUCUUUCAAUAGGGACGAAGCGCAAGUGACGGUACCUAUAGAAGAAGCACCGGCCAACUACGUGCCAGCAGCCGCGGUAAUACGUAGGGUGCGAGCGUUGUCCGGAAUUACUGGGCGUAAAGAGCUCGUAGGUGGUUUGUCGCGUUGUUCGUGAAAACUCACAGCUUAACUGUGGGCGUGCGGGCGAUACGGGCAGACUAGAGUACUGCAGGGGAGACUGGAAUUCCUGGUGUAGCGGUGGAAUGCGCAGAUAUCAGGAGGAACACCGGUGGCGAAGGCGGGUCUCUGGGCAGUAACUGACGCUGAGGAGCGAAAGCGUGGGGAGCGAACAGGAUUAGAUACCCUGGUAGUCCACGCCGUAAACGGUGGGUACUAGGUGUGGGUUCCUUCCUUGGGAUCCGUGCCGUAGCUAACGCAUUAAGUACCCCGCCUGGGGAGUACGGCCGCAAGGCUAAAACUCAAAGGAAUUGACGGGGGCCCGCACAAGCGGCGGAGCAUGUGGAUUAAUUCGAUGCAACGCGAAGAACCUUACCUGGGUUUGACAUGCACAGGACGCCGGCAGAGAUGUCGGUUCCCUUGUGGCCUGUGUGCAGGUGGUGCAUGGCUGUCGUCAGCUCGUGUCGUGAGAUGUUGGGUUAAGUCCCGCAACGAGCGCAACCCUUGUCCUAUGUUGCCAGCGGGUUAUGCCGGGGACUCGUAGGAGACUGCCGGGGUCAACUCGGAGGAAGGUGGGGAUGACGUCAAGUCAUCAUGCCCCUUAUGUCCAGGGCUUCACACAUGCUACAAUGGCCGGUACAAAGGGCUGCGAUGCCGUGAGGUGGAGCGAAUCCUUUCAAAGCCGGUCUCAGUUCGGAUCGGGGUCUGCAACUCGACCCCGUGAAGUCGGAGUCGCUAGUAAUCGCAGAUCAGCAACGCUGCGGUGAAUACAUUCCCGGGCCU
rnacentral:rRNA from 1 species